GGCGAGGGCAGGGAGCGGGCGUGACGUGCACACACACUGCAGGUGAUGGGCGAGGGCAGGGAGCGGGCGUGACGUGCACACACACUGCAGGUGAUGGGCGAGGGCAGGGAGCGGGCGUGACGUGCACACACACUGCAGGUGAUGGGCGAGGGCAGGGAGCGGGCGUGACGUGCACACACACUGCAGGUGAUGGGCGAGGGCAGGGAGCGGGCGUGACGUGCACACACACUGCAGGUGAUGGGCGAGGGCAGGGAGCGGGCGUGACGUGCACACACACUGCAGGUGAUGGGCGAGGGCAGGGAGCGGGCGUGACGUGCACACACACUGCAGGUGAUGGGCGAGGGCAGGGAGCGGGCGUGACG